GACGAACGCUGGCGGCGUGCCUAAUACAUGCAAGUAGAACGCUGAAGGAGGAGCUUGCUUCUCUGGAUGAGUUGCGAACGGGUGAGUAACGCGUAGGUAACCUGCCUGGUAGCGGGGGAUAACUAUUGGAAACGAUAGCUAAUACCGCAUAAGAGUAGAUGUCGCAUGACAUUUGCUUAAAAGGUGCAAUUGCAUCACUACCAGAUGGACCUGCGUUGUAUUAGCUAGUUGGUGAGGUAACGGCUCACCAAGGCAACGAUACAUAGCCGACCUGAGAGGGUGAUCGGCCACACUGGGACUGAGACACGGCCCAGACUCCUACGGGAGGCAGCAGUAGGGAAUCUUCGGCAAGAGACGGAAGUCUGACCGAGCAACGCCGCGUGAGUGAAGAAGGUUUUCGGAUCGUAAAGCUCUGUUGUAAGAGAAGAACGAGUGUGAGAGUGGAAAGUUCACACUGUGACGGUAUCUUACCAGAAAGGGACGGCUAACUACGUG
rnacentral:rRNA from 1 species